rnacentral:tRNA from 21 species
GGGUCUGUAGCUCAGCUGGUUAGAGCACCGUCUUGAUAAGGCGGGGGUCGUUGGUUCGAGUCCAACCAGACCCACCA